UACAGAGGGUGCUAGCGUUGUUCGGAAUGACUGGGCGUAAAGGGCGCGUAGGCGGCCAUAUCAGUCGGGCGUGAAAGCCCCGGGCUCAACCCGGGAACUGCGUUCGAUACUGUAUGGCUUGAGUUCAGGAGAGGAAAGCGGAAUUCCUAGUGUAGAGGUGAAAUUCGUAGAUAUUAGGAGGAACACCAGAGGCGAAGGCGGCUUUCUGGACUGAAACUGACGCUGAGGCGCGAAAGCGUGGGGAGCAAACAGG
rnacentral:misc_RNA from 1 species